AACGGACUGGCGGUCGACUGCCUAACACAAUGCAAGUCGAACGGAGUUAUUAUUCUAGAAGUCUUCGGGAUGGAAGGAUAAGAACUUAGUGGGCGGACGGGGUGAGGUUAACGACGUGGGGUUAACCUGCCCGUUUUCUGGGGGUAACGAACUUACGAGAAAUCGGAGCUAAUACCGCAUAAUAAUAGAGGAUCGCAUGAUUCUUUAAGGAAAGAUGGCCUCUGAAGAUGCUAUCGCAAAAGGAUGGACCCGCGUCUGAUUAGCUAGUUGGAAGGGUAACGGCCUACCAAGGCAACGAUCAGUAGCCGGCCUGAGAGGGUGAACGGCCACAUUGGGACUGAGACACGGCCCAAACUCCUACGGGAGGCAGCAGUGGGGAAUCUUCCGCAAUGGGCGAAAGCCUGACGGAGCAAUGCCGCGUGAGUGAAGAAGGCCUUCGGGUUGUAAAACUCUGUCCUUAUCGAAGAGAGGUAGGUAUGUGAAUAAUGUACCUAUAGGACGGUAGAUAAGGAGGAAGCCCCGGCUACCUACGUG
rnacentral:rRNA from 1 species